rnacentral:rRNA from 1 species
UACAGGGGGUGCAAGCGUUAAUCGGAAUUACUGGGCGUAAAGCGAGCGUAGGUGGCUUAAUAAGUUAGAUGUGAAAUCCCCGGGCUUAACCUGGGAACUGCAUCUAAAGCUGUUUCGCUAGAGUAGGUGAGAGGGAGGUAGAAUUUCAGGUGUAGCGGUGAAAUGCGUAGAGAUCUGAAGGAAUACCGAUGGCGAAGGCAGCCUCCUGGCAUCAUACUGACACUGAGGUUCGAAAGCGUUGGUAGCAAACAGG